rnacentral:rRNA from 1 species
UCGGGAAUUUUGGGCAAUGGGCGAAAGCCUGACCCAGCAACGCCGCGUGAGGGAUGAAGUAUUUCGGUAUGUAAACCUCGAAAGAAUGGGAAGAAUAAAUGACGGUACCAUUUAUAAGCUCCGGCUAACUACGUGCCAGCAGCCGCGGUAAUACGUAGGGGGCAAGCGUUGUCCGGAUUUACUGGGUGUAAAGGGCGCGAAGGCGGGAUAAAAAGUCAGUGGUGAAAUCCUACAGCUUAACUGUAGAACUGCCUUUGAUACUUUUAUUCUUGAGUUCGGGAGAGAGAGACGGAAUUCCAGGUGUAGUGGUGAAAUACGUAGAUAUCUGGAAGAACACCAGUUGCGAAGGCGGUCUCUUGGUCCGACACUGACGCUGAGGCGCGAAAGCGUGGGGAGCAAACA